GAUGAACGCUGGCGGCGUGCCUAAUACAUGCAAGUCGAGCGAACAGACGAGGAGCUUGCUCCUCUGACGUUAGCGGCGGACGGGUGAGUAACACGUGGAUAACCUACCUAUAAGACUGGGAUAACUUCGGGAAACCGGAGCUAAUACCGGAUAAUAUAUUGAACCGCAUGGUUCAAUAGUGAAAGACGGUUUUGCUGUCACUUAUAGAUGGAUCCGCGCCGCAUUAGCUAGUUGGUAAGGUAACGGCUUACCAAGGCAACGAUGCGUAGCCGACCUGAGAGGUGGACCGGCAACAUGGGAAGUGAACCACGGCCAAAACCCCUAGGGGAGGCAGCAGAGGGGAUUUUGCGGCAAUGGGCGAAAGUUUGAGGGAGAAACGCCGGGGGGGUAAUGAAGGUUUUCGGAUCAAAAAACUUUUUUAUGAGGAAAGAAAAAAUGUGGAAUAAACUAGGCCCGUCUUGAGGGUACCAAAUCAAAAAGCCCGGGCUAACUCCGGC
rnacentral:rRNA from 1 species